rnacentral:rRNA from 1 species
GAUGAACGCUGGCGGCGUGCCUAAUACAUGCAAGUCGAGCGAACAGAUGAGGAGCUUGCUCCUCUGACGUUAGCGGCGGACGGGUGAGUAACACGUGGAUAACCUACCUAUAAGACUGGGAUAACUUCGGGAAACCGGAGCUAAUACCGGAUAAUAUAUUGAACCGCAUGGUUCAAUAGUGAAAGACGGUUUUGCUGUCACUUACAGAUGGAUCCGCGCCGCAUUAGCUAGUUGGUAAGGUAACGGCUUACCAAGGCAACGAUGCGUAGCCGACCUGAGAGGGUGAUCGGCCACACUGGAACUGAGACACGGUCCAGGCUCCUACGGGAGGCAGCAGUAGGGAAUCUUCCGCAAUGGGCGAAAGCCUGACGGAGCAACGCCGCGUGAGUGAUGAAGGUCUUCGGAUCGUAAAACUCUGUUAUUAGGGAAGAACAAAUGUGUAAGUAACUAUGCACGUCUUGACGGUACCUAAUCAGAAAGCCACGGCUAACUACGUG